CCGAGAUAUCAGAUACGACAGUUCCUGUAGAAAAGACGAACAUACACACAGACUCGAAAGCUUUCCCAGUUGCAGCUGCUGUAGGUGGUUCCGUUGGUGCAGUUCUGAUAGUCGCCGUAGUGGUUGUUGUGAUUAUCAUUUAUAUAAGGAAGAAACGAACAAAAGGCAAACAAAACACCGGUGAUGAUGACGAUGGUGAUUACGUCAUUAGGGAUGUUAACCCUAACAACGCUGAUACGAAUCUUAACCCUUCCGUCGCU